AACGAACGCUGGCGGCGUGGAUUAGGCAUGCAAGUCGGACGGUAGGGCUUUAUCGUAAGAUAGAGUUUGAGAGUGGCGAACGGGUGAGUAACACGUAGGAAUCUACCCUUAAGACGGGGACAACCCAGGGAAACUUGGGCUAAUACCGGAUGAGAGUGCGAGAGAUUGCAUUUAAAAGGAUGGCGAAAGUUGUCGCUUAGGGAUGAGCCUGCGGUCUAUUAGUUAGUUGGUGAGGUAAGAGCUCACCAAGGCGAUGAUAGAUAGGCGGCCUUAACGGGUGGUCGCCCACACUGGGAUUGAGAUACGGCCCAGACUCCUACGGGAGGCAGCAGUCGAGAAUAGUCUACAAUGGUCGGAAGACUGAUAGUGCGACGCCGCGUGAACGAUGAAUCCCUUCGGGGUGUAAAGUUCUUUUAUAUGUGAGCAGUGCUUCUUAUAUUAACAGUAUGGGGAGAGAGAUAUUAGCAUAUGAAAUAAGCAACGGCUAACUCCGUGCC
rnacentral:rRNA from 1 species